UUGUCAUUGAGAUCAUUCCUGGAACGUGUAAAGGUCUGCAGAGAUUUCGCUUGUAAAACAUCAACACUCUACGAGGAAAUUUAUGGCAUUGAGGUUCUCCCGGUUUUGGAAAUCUGUUUGUUUUUAAAGAAUUGCAGCACAAAAUCAUUAUCACAUACCAAAGAACUGUUGGAACUGGUUGGAGCAGAUGAGGUUUCCCCAGGGGAAAGUUUUCUUCCCAUACUGCUCAAAAUCUAAAACCCAUAAUGGCCCACUGGGACUGGAAAGUUGUGCCAGUAAAAGCGCCAGUGAGCGCUGAACCUGGGCUUCAGAGAGGAGGAAGAUGAGUGAGCAGUGACCUAGACUGCAGAGCCACGAUGGACACUGUCCACCACUCAUCCCCCAGAUACACUGGAGUUCUUACUGAAUAUCACACAAUUAUCGAUUGAAGAGCAAAAAUAAGAUUGUUUUAGUAAAUUGUUACCUUUAAAAAAAGGUUUAAAAAAUGUUGAAUAAAUGAGGAUAUACAAG
rnacentral:lncRNA from 1 species